AUGUCACCAAGUGACUCAAAAUGGCCGUUUGUGUUGAAAAGGAGCCAGUACCCAAUAUCAGUUUGUUUUGCAAUGACAAUAAAUAAGAGUCAAGGGCAGUCGCUAAAACAUGUGGGGCUAUAUUUACCAAAGCAGGUGUUCACACAGGGCCAACUCUAUGUAGCGGUAUCAAGAGUCACAAGUAGAGAUGGACUUAAAGUUUUAAUUUCAGAUGAAGAAUCUAAGGAAAAUAAUUCGGCAAAAAAUAUUGGGUACAAGGAGAUCCUUUAG
rnacentral:rRNA from 1 species